rnacentral:rRNA from 1 species
GAUGGACGCUAGCUACAGGCUUAACACAUGCAAGUCGAGGGGAAACGACAUCGAAAGCUUGCUUUUGAUGGGCGUCGACCGGCGCACGGGUGAGUAACGCGUAUCCAACCUGCCCACCACUUGGGGAUAACCUUGCGAAAGUAAGACUAAUACCCAAUGAUAUCUCUAGAAGACAUCUGAAAGAGAUUAAAGAUUUAUCGGUGAUGGAUGGGGAUGCGUCUGAUUAGCUUGUUGGCGGGGUAACGGCCCACCAAGGCAACGAUCAGUAGGGGUUCUGAGAGGAAGGUCCCCCACAUUGGAACUGAGACACGGUCCAAACUCCUACGGGAGGCAGCAGUGAGGAAUAUUGGUCAAUGGACGAGAGUCUGAACCAGCCAAGUAGCGUGCAGGAAGACGGCCCUAUGGGUGGUAAACUGCUUUUAGAAGGGAAUAAAGUGAGUCUCGUGAGACUUUUUGCAGGUACCUUAUGAAUAAGGACCGGCUAAUUCCGUG